UUCUACUAUCCAAAUUUGGAUAUUUCACCCAUGUUCUAUAAAUGAUUUUACAUCCCAUCUCUAUCAUCUCUCCAUCGAGCAUAUCCUUUUUCCCCCUUCAGUUUUCAUCCAUCUCCGUCACUAACACAACUUUACAGAUGGUAUGAAAGUUUAGGUUGGCUUUGUGUUCCAGAAAUUGUUUCAACAAAUCAAGCAAUGGUAGAGAUGGAUCUAUUCCUAAUGGAGAAGUGGUGAUGUGGAAUUGCAAGUCAAUGUUAUCUGGAUAAUUCAUUUGGGGAUGAGAGUAUCUGUUGUUUGAACUGGAAUCGAAAAUCAAAUUGGUAUGGAUUCGAAUUGAAAUAUGAAGCUGUGGUGGUGACAGUGACGAGAUAAACUGGCUGCCAUUGUUUCACUGGAAGGGAAAAGAGAUGAAGAGAAGUAUGAGAAAGCUAGAAUACUAAAGGUACAAUGUUGUAUAAAUUAGUGGGUGUUAUUGAUUUACUAUACUGGAUCUAAAGCAGUCGUUAUAUAUCGUGCUCAUCGUUUGUUCGAUAAAAUGAUGCACCCAUCUCUUUGACGUUUUUCUCACAUAUUCAGGAUCUAGAUGUAGGAUAUAACUAGGAGCCCCCUGUUGUAAUACUUCUCUUGUCCUAUCUAAUAUGUUACAACCACCAGCUUCAUAUUCAAGAUUCUACAAGUCUAGAAAUGAUUUCGUUAAAAUGUGUGUAAGUUACAACCACCAGCUUCUCUACCAGAUGCAUAGGUCUGUCUGAUUAUCGACCCUUUUGUUCACCGGCUGGCUAUGUAAUCGUCUACUGGAUGUAUAGGCCUAGUGCUUAUUUAAUGAUCUUUACAAAUAAUACAAAGCAUCAUCCUCUUUGAAUAUACGAGAUGCACCUGAGUGCAUAAUGAGUGCAUAAUGUAUAUUUUGAUAGAAAAAUAUGUUUUGGUUUAGAUGCAUCGGGUACAUAAUGUAUAUUUUCUAAUAUUUUGUUCAUAUUAUUUUUCUUCUUUAA